UUUUGUUUGGUCCCGUGGAAGUUUAUAGUUCUACCUCCACUAUCCCACCUCCUCCUGCCUUGGAAAAAUCACAGAUGAAUCAAUCUAAUUUCCGUGGUCUAUUGACAUCAUUCCUCCAGUUACCAGUCAUUUGUGAAUGAACCAAUGCCACAACAACACGAGUUAUAACACAAAAGGUUGCACCUCACAGGAUGGCUGAGCCUAGAACACAAACCCCGUGAAGCUGGCAGAAAGAUCUGGCGGGGGCAGUAGUCUUGGGUUGGUUCCAGCCAGGAAAGAUAACCUGAUCUUCAAGCAACCAUAUGUGGUGGAAAUGAGAGAACUAAAAAGUGAUGGGGAUUAUGGGAUACAGUGGGAUAUUGGUUUCCUAUAGGCAACCUGGUUUAAUGUAUUACAUUGUUUUGUGUGGAUUAUAGAAUUUUCAUAACCUCAUGUUAAAAUCCUUACAUGGGAUGGAAUGCCCAGUGUGCAGCCCUUGUGCGGGAUAGGACCACAGUCUGGACAAACCUAGGCUGGUCUGGCAUGAGAGUUAUAGAGCACAUGGGGAAGUGAGAGUGAGGGAAUUGGUAAAGGCAUUAUUUAACCUGGGCAGGAGGAGGGGAGAGGUGCUGGGCAGGUCAAUCAUCCUGAUGGGUAAUGCACUGUCAUAAGUGACACGGUGAAUGAUCUGGGCUACAGAAGGAAAAAAAUGAAAAACCCAAACCCACUUGCAAAAGAGGUUUGACUCUCAAGACCUAAACCAGCAAAAGUGCAAAUGGCAGGUAAGGAAUAAAAUGGGUAUUUUAGAUCAUAGAUGGUGAGCAGAGACCAGCUCCUGACAUGGAGCAGAGACGAUGCACGAUACAUUCUUUGGAGCAAAAGACAACAUUCUAUGGGACAUUGUGGGCAUGAGCCACCUUUAGAAAACACAAUAAUGCUUUUUUUUUUUCUUUUUCAAAAGCAAACAAACACACAAAAACUAUUUGACUAACUUGAUUUUUUUUUGAAAAAGGAUUUCAGAUUUCUGAAAUUUUUGUUGUUUGCCUCUCAGAACAAAAUGAUGCAAUUUAUAAGAAGAAAAUAGCAGGCCCAAAUUCGAGCCUUCUGGACAAUCGUCCUUGGACCUGGUCAUUGAGCCCAAGCUGAUUGUUUAAUCACUUCGGGGCUGCCAGAGACUUCCCACUCUUUCCAAAUUGCCGUACUUUCCCUUUGUCAGAUCAGAUAACUGUGUUAUUUGGCUGUUCAUUAAAAUUUGCCUUACCUACUUGAAACAUAUUUUUCCAUCUAUGUUUCUGUUCCCAUACAAACUCGAACCACUUAAAUUUCCUCUACUUUUGCAAAAUUUUAUUUCAAAGUUGGAAAGUUUUGAUUUUUUAAGCUUUUGCUUCCGUGCACCACUUUCCCAUUUUUGCAUUUGCUAUUUUAAUCACAAACGCUGCCCCUGUUUGAUUUGGCUGUCAACUUCUGGCUGACAUUUUCUUCUCAUCUUUCUCUUCUUCUAGAUCAACUUUUGCUUUGCAUGCAGCUCUUUGGUUUCCCUCCCCGAACUCUCAGAACAUCUUAUUUUUCAGUGUACGUCUGUUUCAUUCACUCUCUGCCAUGAUAUAUAAACAGAUACUUGACCAAAUGUCCAAAAAAGUACAGAUUAUUGCUACCAAUGCAACAGAAUCAUGGGGGCAGUGUGUCAGUUCAAGGAAGGAAGAGGGUUUUGAGGACAGUCUGAAAGGAGCUUCCAUACAAAACUUCUAUACCACUUAAUGUGAGCCUGGAAGGAUGGGAGGUUGGCUGGAAGGAUGUUAGGGUAAAGUCAAAAACUGUGGUCAAAAAAUUAAUCAAGAUUCACAUCCCCAGUGAUGUCAUGUGGAUAUCAUGCACCCCCUGAUAUGAUGUGAUGAAAGAGGCACUUCACCUCCGUGGUUGUCUUCCCCCAAACCCAUAACCCUAGGCCAACCAUGAGAAAAUCUCAUACAAACCCAUUUUGAGGGGCCUCCUUCAACAUGCCUAACCAUAUUCCUCAAAACUGUCAAGGGCAGGAAAAACAGAAAAGACAGAGAAAAUGUCACAGACCAGAGGAGGCUAAGGGGCACGGGGACCUAAUGUGAUGUAGGAUGCUGGAGCGGAUCCUGGAACAGAAAAAGGACAGUAGUGGAAGAGCUGGUGAUCCAAAUAAAGUCUAGAGAUUAGGUAACGGGGACAUUGCAACAUUGGCUUCUUAGUGCUGACAAAUGUGCCCUGGCAAUGGGUGAGCGACGUGUUGGUAUCAUGCAGAACUGGAACUGCCUAUGCCGUGCACAGGAGCCCUCUCUGCGGUCACUGCACCUUUAUUGUAAGUCUACAACUGGUCCAAACAAAAAACUUUAUUUAAAAACCCAAUCCAAACCAGAAGUCAUUCUCAAACUCCUUGCACUUGAGCUUGAACCACUGGCUCUUUUUUUUUUUUUUUUUUUUUUAAAUCUUUUCUUUGCCCCAUCUCCUAUAAUGAUUUGCAUACUUUGUAGGAUGGAUAUAUGGACCUCAGUGUUUAUGCUUCCCAAACUGGUUAAUUAACUUAGGAAGUCCUUUUCUCUUUCACUGAUUCUCCUGCAUACACCAACAGCAGUGCCCAUCCUCACCUUUGAUCAUCUCAGCUGCCAUAACCCUGCAU
rnacentral:lncRNA from 1 species